AUGAACGCUGGCGGCGUGCCUAAUACAUGCAAGUCGCGCGAACGGACGAGAAGCUUGCUUCUCUGAUGUUAGCGGCGGACGGGUGAGUAACACGUGGAUAACCUACCUAUAAGACUGGGAUAACUUCGGGAAACCGGAGCUAAUACCGGAUAAUAUUUUGAACCGCAUGGUUCAAAAGUGAAAGACGGUCUUGCUGUCACUUAUAGAUGGAUCCGCGCUGCAUUAGCUAGUUGGUAAGGUAACGGCUUACCAAGGCAACGAUGCAUAGCCGACCUGAGAGGGUGAUCGGCCACACUGGAACUGAGGCACGGUCCAGACUCCUACGGGAGGCAGCAGUAGGGAAUCUUCCGCAAUGGGCGAAAGCCUGACGGAGCAACGCCGCGUGAGUGAUGAAGGUCUUCGGAUCGUAAAACUCUGUUAUUAGGGAAGAACAUAUGUGUAAGUAACUGUGCACAUCUUGACGGUACCUAAUCAGAAAGCCACGGCUAACUACGUG
rnacentral:rRNA from 1 species